GACGAACGCUGGCGGCGUGCUUAACACAUGCAAGUCGAACGGUGACAGAGAGCUUGCUCUCUUGAUCAGUGGCGAACGGGUGAGUAACACGUGAGCAACCUACCCUUGACUCUGGGAUAACAGUUGGAAACAGCUGCUAAUACCGGAUAUGACCUCGGCAGACAUCUGCCGGGGUGGAAAGCUCCGACGGUCAAGGAUGGGCUCGCGGCCUAUCAGCUUGUUGGUGAGGUAACGGCUCACCAAGGCGACGACGGGUAGCCGGCCUGAGAGGGCGACCGGCCACACUGGGACUGAGAUACGGCCCAGACUCCUACGGGAGGCAGCAGUGGGGAAUAUUGGGCAAUGGGGGAAACCCUGACCCAGCAACGCCGCGUGAAGGACGAAGGCCUUCGGUUGUAAACUUCUUUGUAUCAGGGACGAAACAAAUAGACGGUACCUGAGGAACAAGCCACGGCUAACUACGUGCCAGCAGCCGCGUAAGUCUAGUCUACG
rnacentral:rRNA from 1 species